rnacentral:lncRNA from 1 species
GUCCCUUCAAAUUGCAAUCUUGAGCUCCCUCACCACGCCACUCCAAUCCGCAUCUCCGACUUCUCUUGUCAUUUUCUCAGGGAAUAGCCCCACACACGUACGAAUAGGGUCGCUAAGACAAAGGAUAUACAGUCCUGGUGUACGGCCGACGUCUCAGCAACCGAACCUGUUUGACUACCUUGGGUGCCUGGGACAGGGUGGCAAUGGCAAACGACAAAG